GACGAACGCUGGCGGCGUGCUUAACACAUGCAAGUCGAACGGAAAGGCCCUGCUUUUGUGGGGUGCUCGAGUGGCGAACGGGUGAGUAACACGUGAGUAACCUGCCCUUGACUUUGGGAUAACUUCAGGAAACUGGGGCUAAUACCGGAUAGGAGCUCCUGCUGCAUGGUGGGGGUUGGAAAGUUUCGGCGGUUGGGGAUGGACUCGCGGCUUAUCAGCUUGUUGGUGGGGUAGGGGAUGACCAAGGCUUUGACGGGUAGCCGACCUGAGAGGGUGACCGGCCACAUUGCGACUGAGAUACGGCCCAGACGCCUACGGGAGGCAGCAGUGGGGAAUAUUGCAGAAUGGGCGGAAGCCUGAUGCAGCAACGCCGCGUGCGUGAUGACGGCCUUCUGGUUGUAAACCGCUUUCGCCUGUGACGAAGCGUGAGUGACGGUAAUGGGUAAAGAAGCACCGGCUAACUACGUG
rnacentral:rRNA from 1 species